rnacentral:rRNA from 1 species
AUUGAACGCUGGCGGCAUGCCUAACACAUGCAAGUCGCACGCGAAAGGGGGCAACCCUGAGUAGAGUGGCGGACGGGUGAGUAACGCGUAGGAAUCUACCUGGUAGUGGGGGACAACCCGGUGAAAACCGGGCUAAUACCGCAUACGAUCCACGGAUGAAAGCAGGGGACCGCAAGGCCUUGCGCUAUCAGAUGAGCCUGCGUCGGAUUAGCGAGUUGGUGGGGUAAAGGCCCACCAAGGCGACGAUCCGUAGCUGGUCUGAGAGAACGACCAGCCACACUGGGACUGAGACACGGCCCAGACUCCUACGGGAGGCAGCAGUGGGGAAUAUUGGACAAUGGGGGCAACCCUGAUCCAGCAAUGCCGCGUGUGUGAAGAAGGCCUUCGGGUUGUAAAGCACUUUCGGUGGGGACAAACAAGGUGGAGCUAACAUCUCCGCCUCUGAUGGUACCCAAAGAAGAAGCACCGGCUAACUCUGUGCCAGCAGCCGCGGUAA